GGCCUGAGGCGCCCCGUCCCGCUCAGCUCCUGACGGCAGCGCGCGUGGAUGAGGAACAGGCCGUCCCCUGUGUUCUCUUGAAUAUAGAGUUGUGCUGGCGGAGUGGAUUACAUUUGAUCUAUGUACCAUGACAAGUACUGAAAAUUGUGGGCUUCAUUGCUGCGUUCACCCACUCCUUCCUGAAGAUAAGAAGAAAGUGUCAAUACAGAGAGCAGCCUUUGCUCCGUUCCAUCAGCAUAAGAAAGCACAAAGCUGCUCUGAAGAUGUCAUGAGUAUACAGUCUGACACCAUGGAAACCAAGGUAAACCCCUUUUUAACUCUUUCAGCUAACAUGCUGGGUGUGGCAAGAGACAGAAGUUCUCCUAUUCAUGAACAUUUUAUUUGCAUAUAUCACAGUUCAUGACAGGCUUGCAUUAAUGCUAACAGAAGCUUCUUUUAAGCAUAUGGUUGAAAUUUCAGUCACCGUGGAAGCAAGCAACCUAUGUGACUCAAUCUAUUUUCUGUGUCGUUUGAAAAGGGAAGUAUUUAAACACAGUGCAAUUGCCUCAGAGGAAUAAGAUGAGUUUGCUGCAUCGCUCAGCAGAUGGUCAUCUCGAAUAUCAGCCCACAGUCUUUACUCUGCUUUUCUUUCACAUAGGUUGGGAGACUGAUAAGGAUACUAUAAGAAACCUGGACAAUGUCCAAGAGAUUCUGCUCCUUACUGAGAUUAUCUGUUAUCACAAUCCCAGACAGCUAUCCUAUGCACACCACAUGUAAACACAAUCCAACCACCAAGAGAAAAAGACAAAUCUGAAAAAUGAAACCCUGGAGUUUUCACCCACUGCUCAAAGUACAGUGAGUUGUCAUGUUUAUUUUAUAGCUUGUUGGAUCUCAGGGUAUAGACUAUUGAGUAGAAUUUCAUACAAACAAAACUAUGAGAAUUCACUUGCUCUGACUUUAGCAUUUUGACUCUAAGACAAAGGAACUCUGCUUUAUACUAUUGCUCUCCUGUGAAGGGUGUUGCCACAACUGCCACCUGUAUUGGAAACCAAGGUAUCAGUUUCUAGCAGGUUUCUCUAGGUAGUUCAAGAACAAAAACCAAGAUCGUGAAGGAAAGUUUUAUUUGACUUACUCAACUUGUAAUGCCCACAUCCUAAGAUAAGAGGUAUUAGGAAGAAAAAAAAUAGCCACAAAGCAAAAAAAGAAAAAAAAAAAAAAAAGGAAGAA